CUGGUUUUUCCUUGCUAGACAGGGGCAGAGAGAAGUCGACUUUGGCGCUGCUGCGACAUCCGAGCUUCAAAUAAUGCAGGGCUGUUUCUGGAAGAAAGAAAAGCCGUGUUAUGACAGCGCCAGAUGAUUGACACGUUACAGGUUCAUCUGCGCCCGGGUCCGAGGAGGCAGCAAAGGAGCCGCAAAGUUCAAAGGCUUUGGUUGCAAAUUAACAGGACAUGUGGACACAAAAUGAAGCUGAAUGCUGGAAGAUUCAGGACAGGAAAAAAGAAAAACAUUUCUUUACACAGCGCAGAGUUAAACUAUGGAACUCGUUGCUGCAAGUGUCGGUGAUGUGGUUAUAAGCAAACAGAGAAAGCAUCAAGUUGUUAGUUGGCUGCGACCCAUCUGUCUCAGGAGAUAGUGGAAGGGUACGUCUGAUUGACUUUCAUCCGCCCUCAAAUUUAGUGGCCAGCCCCUGUACCUAUGCCUUUAACAGCAGCUUCAGCAGCGGCCAUGAACAGAAAAGGGUUUCAUUUCCAUACCGUGGAAAAGCUUCACCAGUUCAUUGCUCCCAGUCAUAAGAACAAGAGCCACUUUGCUCCCAGUCAUAAGAACACAGGGAGCUGCCUUAUAUACCAUGUCAAAGAACUGGUCCAUCCACCGCAAUAUUGCUGACACUGGCUGGCAGCAUCUAUCUACAAUUUCAGGCAGGGGACAUUCCCAACCCUACCUGGAGAGGCCAGGAAUUGAACUUUCUGCAUUCAAAGCAGAUGCUCAACCGCUGAACUUCAGCCCUUCCCUAAGUCCACAGGGAAAUUCCUCCCUCCCCCUUUCGCUUAGUUAACAAAGAUGUCCUUUAAUAGCAAAGUCCUUUUUCUGCAUAGUGGCGGACCCCUCCAGCCGGUGGCAUUCAAUUAUCAGAGUUACAAGUCUGUGGGCCAAUUAGCAGAGAGUGCAGUCCCUGCCUGAGCUGGGUACUGUUGUCAGCCGGUGACCUUGCAAGCAGCUUCUCUUCCUCCCUCCGGACAAGUUUGCAUUAAUCCACAAGCCGCAUUAAUUGUGGCAGUAACUCCUUUGGCCUUUCGCUUCCCGGGGAGCAGCUGGAGAAAGGGAGGGGGUGCGCAGAGCAAGAGAGCACAGAAUCGAUGUAACUUGAGCAGCACCUUGACUUCCUUAUCAGCUGCGGAGUCCCAGUGUCGUGUCACUUAAAGCGCUGCUAUUGACUUACUCUCCAAAGGGCUGAUCAGAUUCCACCAUCCUCCCACCGGCCGAUCCCAAGCACACCAGCAUUAGCCAUUAUGCCCAGCAUGGGAUGGUGGUGAAUCUCACCCCAGUGGCGUUGCAUCCUUUGCCGGUGCCCGGGGCACACACUCGUGUGCUGGGCAGGACCAGGGGCAGGGCAUGAAGGGCGAAGAUAACCCGCCACACCAGCCCUUGUUGCAGACACUGCCAGGUGGGCGCAGGGAACAGAGGGUCCAUGGGUAUGUGCAGCACCGCCUGCCCAUCCGCCAGCGCAGGGGGGAGCCCAGCCCGCCAACAUGGCCCUUAGUGGGCACAUCCCCCAACACUGGCUGGGCGGCCAUUCAGUGAGGGGGCCUACCAUACAGGGCUAUGGUUUAUGUUUGUUGUUCUACUCACGGCCUAGGAUCCUCGUACCUACGGGACUGCCUCUCCCGGUAUGCCCCACGGAGAGCCUCAAGGUCCAUAAAUAGCAACACCCU